rnacentral:rRNA from 1 species
AUGAAAGAUAAGGUUCAAUUUCAAUCUUCCAACAAUCAAAUAAUAUAUCCUCUUACUUUAUCAAUAAAGUUUCUUGCUGAGGGUUGGUUUUUGUCUUUGCAGUUCUGCUCUCCGGUACUGAUCUCGAGUAUCAAUAAGCCUAAACUAUAUAUGUCUGACUGGGCCGAAAUUUCACCUCUGUAUAGAUAUUCUGGAGCCAUGUACCCACUGGAUGCCAUUAUCCCACAACUGUUUGUGUGUACAAUCGGGUUUGUUCUUGGCCAAAGACCCUCGAGAGUCCAAAAUCAGCAAUCUUUGGAACCAUAUUUUCAUCCAAUAAUAUAUUUUCAGGCUUCAGAUCCAUAUGAAUAA